rnacentral:rRNA from 1 species
UACGAAGGUGGCAAGCGUUGUUCGGAUUUACUGGGCGUACAGGGUGCGUAGGCGGUCUGGUAAGCCCUUCGGGAAAGCCCUCGGCUCAACCGGGGAAGUUCGGAGGGUACUGCCGGGCUAGAGGACGGGAGAGGAGCGCGGAAUUCCCGGUGUAGCGGUGAAAUGCGUAGAGAUCGGGAGGAAGGCCGGUGGCGAAGGCGGCGCUCUGGAACGUUCCUGACGCUGAGGCACGAAAGCGUGGGGAGCAAACAGGAUUAGAUACCCUGGUAGUCCACGCCCUAAACGAUGGACACUAAGUGUCGGCGGGUUACCGCCGGUGCCGCAGCUAACGCAUUAAGUGUCCCGCCUGGGAAGUACGGCCGCAAGGUUGAAACUUAAAUGAAUUGACGG